rnacentral:lncRNA from 1 species
CUCCGUUGCCCUCAGUCGCGUCUCUGGUGGACCCGCGCCGCUGGUGCAGGUGUGUUCACCUCACUGCCUGGCGUCCCGUGCGGCCUCCUGCGCGUCAGGCACAGUACCCAGCACCUCCCUGCGGCGUCACGUCCUGCGACGUGAAUUAAAUCGGGUCUGCGUUCGAGGAGGCGUAAGAAGUCCUUCUGGAGCAGGUGGCCGUGGCCGUGGUGGGUCCGGCCGGCCCUGCAGUGCCCGGGGGAGGGGGCCAGCCUCGGGCUCCCCGACCUGUGCGCACCGCCCCCCUCCAGCCUCUCCAACAAGAGACUCACAGGCUCAUUCCACGUCCUUGCAGCCCCAGGGGGUUGCAGCCUGGCCGGGCCUUCGGGGAAUGCAGAUGCGCACUCAUCGCCUCAGGCAACUUCAAGAUCUAUAGAGUCACAGUCACAGCCUUACUAUCAUAAGAGCACGAACAGGGGCACCUGGGGGGCUCAGCGGUUGAGCGUCUGUCUUUGGCCCAGGGCGUGCGUGACCCCGGGGUCCCGGGAUCGAGUCCCGCGUCGGGCUCUCUGCAUGGAGCCUGCUUCUCCCUCUGCCUGGGUCUCUGCCUCUCUCUCUCUCUGUGUCUUUCAUGAAUAAAUAAAUAAAAAUAUUUUUUUAAAAAAGAAAAAGGAACAAUGCACAUUUCUGAUGUUAAAAAACGAGUGCCCCGAAUCAGGCUGAGCCCCCGCAGGGGCAACCCCCGCCAGCCAGCAUCCCCACGAAGGCCUCCUGUUCCACGUCCCUGUUUUACUUCCCCGCAGCGAGGCCCGAGGGCGGGGAGCUGUGGCGGGAGUCGCCCCGGGUCACACUCUGGAAGUUCACUCUUUCCACAUCUAAACACGGAGCAGCAAGACCACAGCACCGGGUCUGACAGACAAGAAAGUCUGUCAGGGCCGCCCCGGGCGGGACAAUGGGGUGAGCAGCCGGGUUUGCCCAAGGAAUGCAAAUCCGGGCCUAAGAAACCCAGCUGGGCGCCCGGCCAGGGAGCAGCACGUGAUGGGGAUGCAGACGCGUCUGGUCCCGAUUCCGAACUAGUGUGUCCCGAGGACACAGCUCUGCCAUCUGGGUGUUCUGCAAACGCCACCCGGCUUCCUCGGCUCCCUGGCUAUGACCCUCGGGGCCAGUGGCUGUGGGGCCCGGACCCGCACUCACCGUAGGGAGAGCUCACGGCGAGAGGAGAGCAUUCCUGGGCCCGAGACCCGUCCGGGGAGGACGCUUCGGAGGAAGACGCCAGCCCCAAGGGUCUGCACCCAGGGUCGGCUCCAACUCUUGGAUUCUUCUUCCGGCCUGGAUCCCCGAGUGACCCCAAACACCCAAGCUUCUGUUUAGCGCCCGGUGUCCCACUCCCGUUGCCCUUCCUCACUCACUGAGUGGUGAGACCCGUGACUCAGGAUUUGGGUGCACCCGGGGUGGGGGGGGUCAGCUCUGGUGCAGGACAGAGCUUCGGGCCCCAGAGUCGCUCAGCGCCUUUUCCCGAGGGCUUCGAUACAGGAAGUAUUUUUUGGUUAAAUGAAGAAGGUGAUUCCAACACUAAAACAUGUGCUGGAGAGAGAGAGACAGAGAACAAAGAUCCUAAGAGAGAUUUAAGAAAAUUGGGACUUGACCUGAAGUGUUGGGGAAACCUGCAGCCCGCGUCCGAGGCGAGGGUGCAACACGACUGCCCUUCUCUCUGGGGGCAGCUGCAGGCGCGGUGACACUCGGGGCCCGGGCUGUGCCCUCUGCCACCCCGCACGCCGCUCGGCAGCCGGGGGCUCGCCCGCCGGGCAGGGACCCAGGGCCGGAGUGUGGGGCUCACUGCCCACCCGGGAGCCUGGCGGCCUGCACGUCGGGUCCCCGUGUUCAGACCCGGCCCCUCUCCCGGGAAGGCAACUGGCCCUAAAAUGUUGUGUCUUGCUUUACCUUCUUUUAAAAGAAUCUUUGGUAGAAACUAGAUAGAAUGAUUCAUUUUAAACCCUGAAGGCAGGGACGCCCGGGUGGCUCAGUGGUUGAGCAUCUGCCUUCGGCUCAGGGCAUGACCCCGGGGUCCUGGGAUCGAGUCCCACAUUGGGGUCCCCGCAGGAAGCCUGCUUCUCCCUCUGCCUGUGUCUCUGCCUCUCUGUGCUUCUCAUGAAUAAAUAAAUAAACUCUUAAAUAAAAUAAAACGAACCCCGAAGACAGCGUUCCGUGUCUGAAUACUCGACGACUGUCACCACCAGCUGCACUGUCGCUGUCAGCAGACUCUCCUUGGAGGACGAGGUGGACGGGACGGGCACCUGCUUCGGUGGUGGCCGCGGACGGAGCAGGAGGAGGAGGCGUCAGGAGGGAGGCCAGGCUGGGUUGGGCUCCUGGGGACAGGGCACAGGGACAGGUGUCCUCACCCGCUGCUCACCGGCUCCUGUGUGGACGUCUCAGAGGCACGUUUCCCCGGGUUUGCCCCCCUUCCUACCUGGGCUGAGGCCGGCGCUGCAAACACGGCCAUUCCUCGGGCGCCGCGAGGCUCACAUCCUGCCGGAGGAUCUGCAGGGAACCUGCAGCGGGUCAGGGAGCCACGCAGUCCACGCGCGCGCAGCCCGCUCCUGGACGCCCCGGGGGAAGAGCUGAGACUCACCUGUGGCCCCAGGAGCCUGAAGACGGACAUGAUAAGCAAAGAUCCGUAAAUGAAACAUCACUUUCUCACUUCUGUUUUCAUGUGCCAACCCUGCAGCCCGCAGGCCCCGGGGGCACCACUAAGGGAUGCGCAUGCCGGGGCUGAAGCCCACCUUCCUUCAUCCUCUGGAGCCCCCCAUGCCCUUCUCGCCCUGAGGACGCCCUGGGGGAACCCACGACACCCGCGCCCCGAAGAACCAGCACGACCUGCAUCACCCGGAAAGCUCUCAUCACGGGCUCCCGGGCCAAAUUCCCCCAAAAGGAAAUGACCUCAUUCAAUCCACUAUGAGCUGGAAUCACUAACGCUAUAGAAAUGCAAUAUUUUGUUAUUUUAGGAAAAUGUGUUUAUUAGGCUCUCUUCAGAGCUCACAUGGAAGCUUUCAGAUUAAAAAUUAACACUGGGCACUGGGCACUAAGGGGGGCACUUGACGGGAUGAGCACUGGGUGUUAUUCUGUAUGUUGGCAAAUUGAAUACCAAUAAGAAAUAAAUUUAUUAUUAAAAAAAAUUAACACCCUUGGAUCUCUGCCUCGUGGAAUAUUUGGGGUUCACACUGAAGUGUGAUUUUCAAGCUGCGUAUUUUUCAUCGAUGCAAAGCUAUGAUGCACAAUUAUGCAUAAACAGCUGUCCAGAGAGGCGAGAAUCCUCCUCAGACAGAGGUUUUCCCAGCCAGACUUUGGGCGCAGGGAAGAAAGUGAAUUUGGAAGUUAUUCUGGUGCAAGAAUUCAAUCUGGGAGCAUUAUUUUUGG